rnacentral:lncRNA from 1 species
CCAGUCUUUGGAAACACAAAGAUAAAUCGACUGUCCCUGCCAAGGACUUUACAGAUUGGUGGAGGAGUCGUACCCUCCAGAAGAAAGUGUGUUGAGAACCCAAGCUGGAAUUCACACGAACCACCUCUCCGUCACAGCCUGAUGGCAUUGGGGUAACCUUCUGACCAGCUGUCUUCUGUGGUGGUUCUUGGCGCAAAGCAGGAUCUUGAUGAGCAGAGCCACGGAUCAGGCUGGGAUGCAGAUAUGAGAGACCCUCUUCGAAGCUUGUGGGCCAGCUAGGCUGACUUGUGCAGUGCUGAACAAGAGGCUCCAUUUCCAGCAAGGUCAAAGUUGGAGACCAACAUGUCUGAGGUAUUUUGCCAGAGUGAUGCAGAAAUAACGCAUGCUGGAAGACUCCCACCAGAGUUCAGACACUUGCCCGAUGUUCUUGAACUUUUAAGACUGUGAACAAAGUAAACUCCCCCCCCCUUUAAAAAUAUCUUGUCAUAAGUGUUUUGUUAUAGCAACAAAAAUGUGCUAAUAUGGGGGGGGGUAAAGCUAAGGAUG